rnacentral:rRNA from 1 species
UACGUAGGGCGCAAGCGUUGUCCGGAAUUAUUGGGCGUAAAGAGCUCGUAGGCGGCUUGUCACGUCGAUUGUGAAAGCCCGAGGCUUAACCUCGGGUCUGCAGUCGAUACGGGCUAGCUAGAGUGUGGUAGGGGAGAUCGGAAUUCCUGGUGUAGCGGUGAAAAUGCGCAGAUAUCAGGAGGAACACCGGUGGCGAAGGCGGCAUCCUGGACCGACACUGACGCUGAGGAGCGAAAGCCAGGGGAGCAAACGGG